rnacentral:rRNA from 1 species
AGUGGGGAAUAUUGGACAAUGGGCGGAAGCCUGAUCCAGCCAUGCCGCGUGUGUGAAGAAGGCCUUUUGGUUGUAAAGCACUUUAAGCGAGGAGGAGGCUCCUUUAGUUAAUACCUAAAGAGAGUGGACGUUACUCGCAGAAUAAGCACCGGCUAACUCUGUGCCAGCAGCCGCGGUAAUACAGAGGGUGCGAGCGUUAAUCGGAUUUACUGGGCGUAAAGCGUGCGUAGGCGGCUUUUUAAGUCGGAUGUGAAAUCCCUGAGCUUAACUUAGGAAUUGCAUUCGAUACUGGAAAGCUAGAGUAUGGGAGAGGAUGGUAGAAUUCCAGGUGUAGCGGUGAAAUGCGUAGAGAUCUGGAGGAAUACCGAUGGCGAAGGCAGCCAUCUGGCCUAAUACUGACGCUGAGGUACGAAAGCAUGGGGAGCAAA